AAGCUCAAGGGCGUCCAAAUCUGCCAAUGGCAUUUCCCUGUACGUUAGCGAUGACCGAAAGGUAGCAACCUGGAGUUUGGCCGGCUGUGAGUACGUCGACGGAAAGCAGCUGGUU
rnacentral:sRNA from 12 species